rfam:Medicago truncatula strain A17 chromosome 4, whole genome shotgun sequence.
GUGUCAUGGUCAUUGUUGACCGCUCAUACUACCCCUGCAAUUGCAUUGCAGGUUAUGCGGGGGUCUAUAACGGUCAACAGAGACCCUUGACAU